AUCGAUGCAGUUUUUACUAGAUCUACGAUAAGUGCGCACUUGAUCAAGAAUUUCAUAUCAUUUUUGCGACAUUUUGUCGAUCAAAUAUUUGGCCAAAUGAUCUCUCAAAUGUUAAUUCUUGUGGUAGUUCCAUUUCUGUAGAUUCAGUUAAAAGUUCAUCGAGUGUGGACAGGAUGGUUUUGAAGAAGGUACGGUUGAAACAUUGGCAGCAAGCAUCGCUACCCUACAAUCGUCGCGAGUGUUGCGAAAAAGGACAUCAAAUUUCCGUUUCUCAUCCCAAGGACAUGAUAAGCUGCGAAAGAUCCGGACCAUGUCUAAGUAGUAGUCCUGGAAUUUUUCUCUGACACCCUGCUUCCGGUUAUUCGCACGCUGUUCGUAGAAGUAAUCGAUAUCCACCGGUGGUUACGCAAUACUCUUUCUAGUUGACUACGCGACGAGACUACAUUUAGUCCGCGAAUACGUAACUCGUAUUCCAACUCAUCCACCAUUAGAUGAGAAGGAUCCAUCGACUGAUAUUGCGCUAACAACAAAGGCAUCUCCAUUGCGAUGAUUUAGGUUUGAUCUCGGAAGGUAAAAUUUAUCAAAA